GAUCCUGGCUCAGGAUGAACGCUAGCUACAGGCUUAACACAUGCAAGUCGAGGGGCAGCAUGAACUUAGCUUGCUAAGUUUGAUGGCGACCGGCGCACGGGUGAGUAACACGUAUCCAACCUUCCGUUUACUCAGGGAUAGCCUUUCGAAAGAAAGAUUAAUACCUGAUAGUAUGGUGAGAUUGCAUGAUAACACCAUUUAAAGGAUUUAUUGGUAAACGAUGGGGAUGCGUUCCAUUAGGUAGUAGGCGGGGUAACGGCCCACCUAGCCUGCGAUGGAUAGGGGUUCUGAGAGGAAGGUCCCCCACAUUGGAACUGAGACACGGUCCAAACUCCUACGGGAGGCAGCAGUGAGGAAUAUUGGUCAAUGGGCGAGAGCCUGAACCAGCCAAGUAGCGUGAAGGAUGACUGCCCUAUGGGUUGUAAACUUCUUUUAUAAAGGAAUAAAGUCGGGUAUGGAUACCCGUUUGCAUGUACUUUAUGAAUAAGGAUCGGCUAACUCCGUG
rnacentral:rRNA from 1 species